UUGGCUUUCGCCUUUUGCCGGAAAACCUUCAGUACGGUUUGCAGCGGACUGGCGCACUCCAUUGGCAGCCGGAAAAUCUCUCAUCCAACUCGAACUUCCCUCCCAUCAGUUUUUGGCUUUCACCUUUCGCUGGAAAACCUUCAGUAUGGUUUCUAGUGGACCGGCGCACUCCAUUGGUAGCCGGAAAAUCUCUCAUCCAAAGACCGGCGCACUCCAUCGGCAGCCAAAAAGCCUUCAAAAUAUUCACUCCAUCGAUAGCCGGACCAGCGCAUAUCGAAAGGUGUGCACGUCGAGAAAGGCAAAAGGCGAAAUCUCUCAUCACAGCCAGAAAACCUUCAAUAUGGUUUCAACGAUUCCACGCUGCUCUCCUCACGGCUUCAUCAGAACUAGAUAAGCGGGAAUUCACUAGCAGCCAAAACGCUGGCCCUUCAGCAGCAACUACUUCUUUCGAGAGGCGGCAUUGGAAUGGCGAUAUCGCCGUCGUCUGUUCCCGACACUAGCUCUCAAGGCGAACGGAGAAGCUUCAGUUCAAGGGUUGUACAAUGGAUUCGCCGGAUCUCUGUCUCGUACUGCUCAAACAGCAAACCAGCAACAUUUUCACAAUCCACAAUGCACCGGCAACGACGGCACCAGCGGUAGGGGAAGCAGGAGGAGUUGGUGCCGCUCCCCAGAGGCAGCAGAGGGCGAGGGCCGGGAGAGGGUAGGAGGAGUGAUGUUGUUUGUGCAGAAAAAUCGUCACUGGCCGGAGAAUGGGAGGGAGGAGUCUUUUUUCAUUUUUUGUCUUUUAGUGUUCAGUUCAACCGGACGGAUAGUAGUUAACAUUAAACGACCGUUAUGCUAAGGUUGGUUCAAAGGCGUCGACGUGCAUGCCUCCUAUUAGAGGGUUCACGCGCCCCGUGAACCUAAGGGUCCACUAAUCCGGACUCUUAACCCACACCCAACCCAAUUCAACCCACCAAUUUGCCACCCCUGGAUUCAAAUUCGAAUACGAGGUCUCCAAAUCUAAUUGGAUUUCUAAAGAUAAAAUGUAUUUAAAUUUUUAUCUUUUCGUAUUUUAAAAUAUUAA